rnacentral:rRNA from 1 species
GUAGGUGGCAAGCGUUGUCCGGAAUUAUUGGGCGUAAAGCGCGCGCAGGCGGUCCUUUAAGUCUGAUGUGAAAGCCCACGGCUCAACCGUGGAGGGUCAUUGGAAACUGGGGGACUUGAGUACAGAAGAGGAAAGCGGAAUUCCAAGUGUGGCGGUGAAAUGCGUAGAGAUUUGGAGGAACACCAGUGGCGAAGGCGGCUUUCUGGUCUGUAACUGACGCUGAGGCGCGAAAGCGUGGGGAGCAAACAGGGAUUAGCUACCCUGGUAGUCCACGCUGUAAACGAUGAGUGCUAAGUGUUAGGGGGUUUCCGCCCCCUUAGUGCUGCAGCUAACGCAUUAAGCACUCCGCCUGGGGAGUACGGCCGCAAGGCUG